GGAGAGAUGGCUGAGUGGUUGAUAGCUCCGGUCUUGAAAACCGGUAUAGUUCGAGAGAACUAUCGAGGGUUCGAAUCCCCCUCUCUCCU
rnacentral:tRNA from 1 species